rnacentral:rRNA from 1 species
AGGCCGAAAGGCGUAGUCGAUGGGAAACGGGUUAAUAUUCCCGUACUUGGUGUUACUGCGAAGGGGGGACGGAGAAGGCUAUGUUGGCCGGGCGACGGUUGUCCCGGUUUAAGCGUGUAGGUGUGUGUUCCAGGUAAAUCCGGUUCACUUUAACACUGAGGCGUGACGACGAGGCACUACGGUGCUGAAGCAACAAAUGCCCUGCUUCCAGGAAAAGCCUCUAAGCAUCAGGUAACAUCAAAUCGUACCCCAAACCGACACAGGUGGUCAGGUAGAGAAUACCAAGGCGCUUGAGAGAACUCGGGUGAAGGAACUAGGCAAAAUGGUGCCGUAACUUCGGGAGAAGGCACGCUGACACGUAGGUGAAGUGAUUUACUCACGGAGCUGAAGUCAGUCGAAGAUACCAGCUGGCUGCAACUGUUUAUUAAAAACACAGCACUGUGCAAACACGAAAGUGGACGUAUACGGUGUGACGCCUGCCCGGUGCCGGAAGGUUAAUUGAUGGGGUCAGCGCAAGCGAAGCUCCUGAUCGAAGCCCCGGUAAACGGCGGCCGUAACUAUAACGGUCCUAAGGUAGCGAAAUUCCUUGUCGGGUAAGUUCCGACCUGCACGAAUGGCGUAAUGAUGGCCAGGCUGUCUCCACCCGAGACUCAGUGAAAUUGAACUCGCUGUGAAGAUGCAGUGUACCCGCGGCAAGACGGAAAGACCCCGUGAACCUUUACUAUAGCUUGACACUGAACAUUGAGCCUUGAUGUGUAGGAUAGGUGGGAGGCUUUGAAGCGUGGACGCCAGUCUGCGUGGAGCCGACCUUGAAAUACCACCCUUUAAUGUUUGAUGUUCUAACGUGGACCCGUGAUCCGGGUUGCGGACAGUGUCUGGUGGGUAGUUUGACUGGGGCGGUCUCCUCCUAAAGAGUAACGGAGGAGCACGAAGGUUGGCUAAUCCUGGUCGGACAUCAGGAGGUUAGUGCAAUGGCAUAAGCCAGCUUGACUGCGAGCGUGACGGCGCGAGCAGGUGCGAAAGCAGGUCAUAGUGAUCCGGUGGUUCUGAAUGGAAGGGCCAUCGCUCAACGGAUAAAAGGUACUCCGGGGAUAACAGGCUGAUACCGCCCAAGAGUUCAUAUCGACGGCGGUGUUUGGCACCUCGAUGUCGGCUCAUCACAUCCUGGGGCUGAAGUAGGUCCCAAGGGUAUGGCUGUUCGCCAUUUAAAGUGGUACGCGAGCUGGGUUUAGAACGUCGUGAGACAGUUCGGUCCCUAUCUGCCGUGGGCGCUGGAGAACUGAGGGGGGCUGCUCCUAGUACGAGAGGACCGGAGUGGACGCAUCACUGGUGUUCGGGUUGUCAUGCCAAUGGCACUGCCCGGUAGCUAAAUGCGGAAGAGAUAAGUGCUGAAAGCAUCUAAGCACGAAACUUGCCCCGAGAUGAGUUCUCCCUGAGACUUAAAGUCUCCUGAAGGAACGUUGAAGACGACGACGUUGAUAGGCCGGGUGUGUAAGCGCAGCGAUGCGUUGAGCUAACCGGUACUAAUGAACCGUGAGGCUUAACCUUAC